AUUCUCACUCUCUGUACUCUCAUCUUCACCCGACCACCAUCAGUUUCAAACAGAACAUGUGUUUUCCGCCAUCUUCCUCUCCACCUCUCGUCUUCUUCUGCCACAAUGAAUCUGUGUCCAUGCCAGAUAGUUGCUUAAGUAUCCCCGUCGAUACCUGGAAGUUACCAAAGCAGUGUUGGAAAAAGUACCUCAUUGUUAUACUUGAAUAAAAAUAAAGGAGGAGCACACACCUGGAAAAAGAGAAAUUAACACCCUGUCUGUGUGUACUUUCACCACCAGAGAGAGCUAUUUGUCCAGGUUUUCUGUCAACUGAUCUCUUUCAGUGAGUAAAAUGUGACGUUGAUUUGCAGUGAGAGACUUAUGCCUAAUGAGAGAAGACCUGGGUCCUGCCUGCUGCCGCUGGCCUCAUCGAUUACCUGUCCCCCCGCCACAACAUGCUACUAAUGAAUAUGCUGCAAGUUGGAAACACAGACAAUGGCUUUGCUAAAAAACUGUUUGCUUAUGUUCACUAGGAAAGCUCUGAUGACUGUGAUGGAAUAUACUGUAAAUGGAUUAUGAACAUGUAUUUUGUUGCUCGGCUUGAAUAUCUAUACAAAUGAAAGGACUUCCAUAGUUUGGUUGGAGUGUUCAGUGGUGUGGUAUUGCACUUACAUUCCACCCUAGCCAAGAUAUGUGGUUAUAACUGCCAAAACUCAUUGAAUGGAAACUUGAAAAUUAAAUAUAAAACAUAUAUUCCUGUUUCUAGAACAAGCUGUUAGCUGUAUAAAUGAGGUUUUAGGAAUAUCUUAGCCAAACAUUAGGUGGUGAAACCAAGACUAAUUCCAGGUUUGGAGUAAGGUUUUUUGUAAUUUCAUGGAUAAAAUUGAUUGAAUAUGUUUUUGAAAUAAACUGUAAACUC